GGCAAAGCAGCUUCCUGUUUUAAUCUCCACGCCCCUACGCAAAAUAUAGGAAACUUAACCAGACAUCCCAACCACUGGUCACUCCUCCUUUCCCUUUCAUCCCAGAUCCCUUCCCCUCUUUGUCAAGCCCUAAUCGCUGUAUUGUAUUCUCUCCGAGUCUCUCUGCACAACCUGAUUCUCGAGCAGAAGGGUAUAGGGGUUUAUUUAUCUCAUAAUCAACCAUGUUUACCCGAAUUUUUGGUAAACCUAAACAGGAAGCCAAUGCUCUGACCACUUUGGAUAAGUUAAAUGAGACACUUGAAAUGCUGGAGAAAAAGGAGAAAGUACUUAUUAAAAAGGCUGCGGCAGAGGUUGAAAAGGCUAAAGAAUUUACAAGGGCAAAAAA